UUGUAAUUUCAGAUUCCUCCACUUUUGAUCCCUCAUCUUACGUGCCAUGUAUGCAGAUUUUGCUAACGUGGUGAAAUGAGGGAUCAAAAGUGGAGGAAUCUGAAAUUACAG
rfam:Medicago truncatula strain A17 chromosome 8, whole genome shotgun sequence.